rnacentral:rRNA from 1 species
AUUGAACGCUGGCGGCAUGCCUUACACAUGCAAGUCGAACGGUAACAGGUUUUCGGAUGCUGACGAGUGGCGAACGGGUGAGUAAUACAUCGGAACGUGCCCGAUCGUGGGGGAUAACGAAGCGAAAGCUUUGCUAAUACCGCAUAAGAUCUACGGAUGAAAGCAGGGGACCGCAAGGCCUUGCGCGAACGGAGCGGCCGAUGGAAGAUUAGGGAGUUGGUGGGAUAAAAGCUUACCAAGCCGACGAUCUGUAGCUGGUCUGAGAGGACGACCAGCCACACUGGGACUGAGACACGGCCCAGACUCCUACGGGAGGCAGCAGUGGGGAAUUUUGGACGAUGGGCGCAAGCAUGAUCCAGCCAUGCCGCGUGCAGGAUGAAGGCCUUCGGGUUGUAAACUGCUUUUGUACGGAACGAAAAGACUCUGGUUAAUACCUGGGGUCCAUGACGGUACCGUAAGAAUAAGCACCGGCUAACUACGUGCCAGCCGCCGCAGUAACAC